GACGAACGCUGGCGGCGUGCUUAACACAUGCAAGUCGAACGGAAAGGCCCUGCUUUUGUGGGGUGCUCGAGUGGCGAACGGGUGAGUAACACGUGAGUAACCUGCCCUUGACUUUGGGAUAACUUCAGGAAACUGGGGCUAAUACCGGAUAGGAGCUCCUGCUGCAUGGUGGGGGUUGGAAAGUUUCGGCGGUUGGGGAUGGACUCGCGGCUUAUCAGCUUGUUGGUGGGGUAGUGGCUUACCAAGGCUUUGACGGGUAGCCGGCCUGAGAGGGUGACCGGCGACAUUGGGACUGAGAUACGGCCCAGACUCCUACGGGAGGCAGCAGUGGGGAAUAUUGCACAAUGGGCGGAAGCCUGAUGCAGCAACGCCGCGUGCGGGAUGACGGCCUUCGGGUGGUAAACCGCUUUCGCCUGUGACGAAGCGUGAGUGACGGUAAUGGGUAAAGAAGCACCGGCUAACUACGUG
rnacentral:rRNA from 1 species